rnacentral:rRNA from 1 species
CAAUAGCGUAUAUUUAAGUUGUUGCAGUUAAAAAGCUCGUAGUUGGAUUUCGGUUGAGAACGGCCGGUCCGCCGUUUGGUGUGCACUGGCUGGUCUCAACUUCCUGUAGAGGACGCGCUCUGGGUUAACGCUCGGACGCGGAGUCUACGUGGUUACUUUGAAAAAAUUAGAGUGUUCAAAGCAGGCAAUUCGCCUGAAUAAUGGUGCAUGGAAUAAUGGAAUAGGACCUCGGUUCUAUUUUGUUGGUUUUCGGAACUUGAGGUAAUGAUUAAGAGGGACAGACGGGGGCAUUCGUAUUACGGUGUUAGAGGUGAAAUUCUUGGAUCGCCGUAAGACGAACUACUGCGAAAGCAUUUGCCAAGAAUGUUUUCAUUAAUCAAGAUCGAAAGUCAGAGGUUCGAAGACGAUCAGAU